GAUGAAGGNCUUCGGGUUGUAAAGCUCUGUUGUUAGGGAAGAACAAGUACCGGUGUAUCUGGGGGGACCUUGACGGUACCUAAACAAAAAGCCCCGGUUAACUUCGUGGCAGCAGCCGCGGGAAUUCGUAGGGUGGAGCGUUGAUCGGAAUUAUUGGGGGUAAAGCGCGCGCAGGCGGUUUCUUAAGUCUGAUGUGAAAGCCCCCGGCUCAACCCUGGAAGGGCAUUGGAUACUGGGGGACUUGAGUGCGGAAAAGGAAAGUGGAAUUUCACGUGUAGCGGUGAAAUGCUUAGAGAGUGGAGGAACACAGGGCGUAGGCGCCCCCUGGGCUUGUACUGACGCUGAGGCU
rnacentral:rRNA from 1 species